GGUCGUCGAGGCUCCCUGAUCCUCGUGGGAACCAAAGAUUUGCUUUUGGAUGCACACACUGCUCACUGCAGUUUUUCCUCCACAGAUGUGUGCUCUCUAUUCAGAGUGAAUUUAUCACUUGAUAGAAGUUGUGGUUUUACUUCUGACUGUGGAUGCUACUUACACUUGCAGUUCCAGCAGGUUUGAAAGCGGACUAUUCUCCCUAUAGGCCAACAAAACAAUUCAGGGGGAUUUGGUGGAGUUUUUUCUCAGUUUUGAUUUGGCUGAAUCGCCGCAUGAAGCUUCAGCUUUCAUCUUCUGGUCACACUUGGCGAAGCAGCAGCAGAACUCCUUGCUCAGUCAGUAUAUGUGUCAGAGCUGGAAGGCUGAGAUGGACGUUCUCUUUUAUAAGACACAGUGCUUCUAAAGUAGUGCUUUUGUAAGCACUGCUCCUUCAGACCUGCUUGUCAUUGCCAGCCUGUAGGGCUGCCAAGCAGUGGGUUCACAACCUGAUGAGUGACAAAGGUCUUACCACACGCUGCUAUUUUAAUGGGGUUUAUCUGGCCUUGCUGUAAGGUUUGGAGACAUAAGAGCAGCCUCGAUGCCCCAGUCCUGUGACAGAAGGAGGUGGAGCCAGGACAGAGGAAAGAUGUGGAUUCUGGCCUUCGGAACAAAAAGAAGAACCGUGGAUAAGGAAUCUGGCAGAGAGUCUGCCAUCAAGAAACUGCUGAUGCAAAAUCUCAGCUCCUCCCUGUGUUAAGAACAGCACAUCUUUAGCUUUUAAAAGAAAAUCCAUAGUUCAUAAUGUAAAGAGCAGCACGUAGAGAACUUUAAAACUCUUUAGUGUACCCCUAAGUGUACAAGGUGAGGCACGGCGUCCCAGAUCCAGCAAGAUGGCAGGAGUCAUGUCACCUUUCCCCAUGCUCAUCUCAACUCCAGAAGAGCCAACUAUCUGGGAAGGACAGUGCCUGGUGGCAGCAGAAUGCUGGGAAAACAGGCAGCAAGAGAGAGAUAGGAGAGCAACUAGUUUUUGACAGAUUGACUCCUUAAUGUUCCCAUGGGGAAUAUCCCAUGGGGAAUAUAAAAUGCAUUGUUCUCUAGGGCUGUUUUUAAGGUUCACACUCCGUGCACCUGCAUCUUCCCCAAAGCCCAGCACUGCCAAGACCUGUGGCUUUCACACUGUCCCUCUUGUUCCUGAGCUAUUAUGAAAGACUUCUCUUUAUUUCUCUGACUGCACAUUUGCAUUUUAAGACCUUGCAGUUUACGAGCAAUCAAGAUCAAAGCCAGCAAGGCUUUGGGCUUUGCUACUUUGCCUUCAUACAGAUGACAUCUCAGAAAUUUUCUAUGACAUCUCAGAAAUGGAGAGAUCGUCUGCCUAGGGAGCCAGAGAGUACGCAUGGAGAUGAGCUGGCUCAUAAGAUGCUGCCUUGGCCUGCUGGCAAGCUCUGCCUUCCACAGCUCUGCGUGGUCUUUGGGGGACGCUGAGGGGAAGGAGGAGGAGGGAGAAACUCUCAUCACCUCAGUGAGGGAAGGAGGGGGAUGCUUAGUGCUGCCACAGCUCUGCUGGCUACGAAGGAAGAGGUAGGUAAGUGUGGAAGGGCCACCUCCUCAGCAUUGCCACUGCUGCUGGGCAUGGGCAAGGGAAGGACCUUUCUUCUGGGCUGGCUCCUGAAAAUUCCCAGCAGCAAGAGGAGGGAGGAAAUGUUAUUUUCCUGUAAAAGGAUUCCAUGCCUCUGACUGGAAUGGUAAGAGGAGGGACAAUCCUACAAAUGAGGUCACAGAACAGGGGACCCUUGCUUCCUGCUUCUGCCCUCUGCCUCUGAUGUCUCCUACCCUCAGACAGAUCCCUGGUGCUGUUUUGAAGAGAAGGGCGAAGGAGAAGGAAGCAGUCCGACCACACUGACUCAACUCCAUUCCUUCAGCAAGCUAUAUAUAUUUUUAUUUCGUAUUCAUCUGAACAGCAGAAAGUUUGGCAAUAAUGACAGCCUGGGAAGUA